rnacentral:sRNA from 1 species
GCCAGGCGCAGUGGCGCACACCUGUAAUCCCAGCGGCUCAGGAGGCUGAGGCAGGAGGAUCACAAGUUCAAAGCGAGAUGCUAAGCAACUCAGCGAGACCCUGUCUCUA